GCUGCGGUAGCCUAGCUUGGUCAGGGCGCCAGACUCAUAGGGUUUAACGAGCAUAUGAGGCGCCAGAAUCUGAGACAUCUGGAGGUCGUGGGUUCGGAUCCCACUCGCAGCA
rnacentral:tRNA from 1 species